rnacentral:tRNA from 1 species
GGCUGGGGAUUUAGCUCAGUGGUAGAGCACUUUCCUAGCAUACCUGAGGACCUGGGUUCACCCCCAGUACCCAGCCG